CUUCUGGCCCCUGCUCGCGGCUUCUCCUGUUUCAAUUUCCAUGUCCUCUCCGAUUUGUAACUCAAGGAGCUCCCGGGCUUAGGAACAGCUGACUAGCUGGCCAUUCCUGGCCGUGGCACCUGGGGAAGGGGCGAUGGGAACUGACUCGCAGACACGCUCCGGGCUCCCUGGCCCCGGCUGCCGUGACACACUGGAAGGUUGGCUUUCACGGGACUCCUGGACUUCCAGGUGUGUGGCAUCUCCUUCCAGGGAAAGCCCGAUCUCCAAACUGCAGCAGAUCCAGGCAUGUGGAGCCCAGUGAGUGACGGGGAGUCAGUGGGGCUCCCUACCUGCCCACCUUACCCAGGAUUUGACAGGACCUGGAGGUGUGUCUUAUCAUCACCCCUUUGAAGAAGGCGUUUUGAGUUUGCUGACCUGGUGAGGACCACAGGAUUUCAUCUCUGCUGCCCAGUCAUCUCAAGGCCUAGCUGAGCACAAAGCAAUUUUCAGCUGUAUUUGUUCAUAGACAGAAGUCCAGAGAUUUUCUCUGGUCAAGAAUUGGUGUGCAACAGGCCC